rnacentral:rRNA from 1 species
ACGGAGGGGGCUAGCGUUGUUCGGAAUUACUGGGCGUAAAGAGUACGUAGGCGGUUAUUCAAGUCAGAGGUGAAAUCCCGGAGCUUAACUCCGGAACUGCCUUUGAAACUAGAUAGCUAGAAUCAUGGAGAGGUUAGUGGAAUUCCGAGUGUAGAGGUGAAAUUCGUAGAUAUUCGGAAGAACACCAGUGGCGAAGGCGACUAACUGGACAUGUAUUGACGCUGAGGUACGAAAGCGUGGGGAGCAAACAGGAUUAGAUACCCUGGUAGUCCACGCCGUAAACGAUGAUAACUAGUUGUUCGGGUCCAACGGAUCUGAGUGACGCAGCUAACGCAUUAAGUUAUCCGCCUGGGGAGUACGGUCGCAAGAUUA